GAAAUGCGAUACGUAGUGUGAAUCGCAGGGAUCAGUGAAUCAUCGAAUCUUUGAACGCAUGUUGCGCUCUCGUGGUUACCCCCCGGGAGGCAUGCCUGUCCGAGCGUCAUUAUAACCCUCUCAAGCCUGGUUGCUUGGUAUUGGGGCUGGAGCGUCCUCAGGGCCGGUCCGUCCCGAAUUGCAAUGGCAGACGACGGUGUCAACGUCAGCGUAGUGAGCUUUUUGCAUCGCGAAGCGUAGACGCCCGUCCCGCCGAAACAAAACCCUUCUCUUCGAAGUGUUGACCUCGGAUCAGGUAGGGAUACCCGCUGAACUUAA
rnacentral:misc_RNA from 1 species